UCCAGACUCCUACGGGAGGCAGCAGUGAGGAAUAUUGGUCAAUGGCCGAGAGGCUGAACCAGCCAAGUCGCGUGAGGGAAGACGGCCCUACGGGUUGUAAACCUCUUUUGUCGGGGAGCAAAGCGAGUCACGUGUGACUCAUUGAGAGUACCCGAAGAAAAAGCAUCGGCUAACUCCGUGCCAGCAGCCGCGGUAAUACGGAGGAUGCGAGCGUUAUCCGGAUUUAUUGGGUUUAAAGGGUGCGUAGGUGGUUAAUUAAGUCAGCGGUGAAAGUUUGUGGCUCAACCAUAAAAUUGCCGUUGAAACUGGUUGACUUGAGUAUAUUUGAGGUAGGCGGAAUGCGUGGUGUAGCGGUGAAAUGCAUAGAUAUCACGCAGAACUCCGAUUGCGAAGGCAGCAUACCGGCGCCCAACUGACGCUGAGGCACGAAAGCGUGGGUAUCGAACAGGAUUAGAUACCCCAGUA
rnacentral:rRNA from 1 species